rnacentral:miRNA from 13 species
CUCUAGGAUGUUCUCAUUGCAUGGGCUGUGUAUAUCAUCACUCAAUACCCAGAGCGUGCAGUGUGAACAUAAUAGAGAUU